rnacentral:rRNA from 1 species
AGAACGACUCUCGGCAACGGAUAUCUCGGCUCUCGCAUCGAUGAAGAACGUAGCGAAAUGCGAUACUUGGUGUGAAUUGCAGAAUCCCGUGAACCAUCGAGUCUUUGAAUGCAAGUUGCGCCCGAAGCCUUCUGGCCGAGGGCACGUCUGUCUGGGCGUCACGC